UACGUAGGGUGCAAGCGUUAUCCGGAAUUAUUGGGCGUAAAGAGCUCGUAGGCGGUUUGUCGCGUCUGCUGUGAAAACCCGAGGCUCAACCUCGGGCCUGCAGUGGGUACGGGCAGACUAGAGUGCGGUAGGGGAGAAUGGAAUUCCUGGUGUAGCGGUGGAAUGCGCAGAUAUCAGGAGGAACACCGAUGGCGAAGGCAGUUCUCUGGGCCGUAACUGACGCUGAGGAGCGAAAGCAUGGGGAGCGAACAGG
rnacentral:rRNA from 1 species